AGGAAGCCUCUGCUCCUUGUCAGUGGUGUGAGGAAGGUGGGGGAUCCCAGGAAUGGCAUCUCCCAGGAAAAGGAGGGGCUCAGCUGGCGUGGCAAUGUUGGCAAGAAGGAUAAAGAAAUCAUCCUAGCUCCUUUUUACUGGCAAAAAACUACCUGGGAUGGAGGAUUAGGGCAAAACAUGACUUUGGUUUGGGGAAUCUUUCUUCGGAGGAGUGCUUUUGCUUUUGUUGUGUGGAAGCACUGAUCCUUCAAAGAGGUGGAAAUCUGACUGAGAAGGAGGCAGUGGUGGUUUCACCUUCUCCUGAUCUGUGCUGAGCCCAGGGGCUAUUCCAGCAUAACCAAACACGUCAGGUGUUUCUUUAACAGGGUACCAGACUUCUCCAGGGUGUUGAGCACAACUUUCACUGCCCUGGGGGCAGGAGUGGCUGUCCAAAUCACUCAUUUUAGAGUUAUAUGACAGUCCCCAGCCACUGGAAGUGAGGAACAGCACACAGCAUUAGCCAGCUCUGUAAGAGCUGCUGCUCCACCUCAUAGCAUGGAGACAACUGGAAAGAGCUGAGAGCAGAAAAUAAAAGGUGCUUCCAAGAAUGCAUCAUUGUCAUCAGGAGUAACCAGAGGGUUCUUCAUUGUCCUGCCUGCUUGGUGGUGCUGGCUUUCUUAAUCUGAAAUUGAAGUUGUCUCUGUUGGGAAGAGCUGUGAUGUCCAAGAAAACAAACAACUGAAGAAUACUGAAGUCAUUAAAACACCAGGAAAUAAUUUUGGAUCGGUCGAAACAUUUUACAUUUCUGAUAUAUUUUGGGAUCUGUUAUCUUCUCAGAAAUCACAGCCUGGAUCCCCACGGACACCAGUGAGAUUGGAUGCUCCCAGUGUGUUUCAGUGGAUUGCAACUGUGGCCUUUCACAUCCUUGAGAAUUCUGUGUUAAGUUUCUAAAUUCUUGCACUCCUGUUUUCUCACAAAUCCCAUUCAGAGCCUGACGUCAGAGCAUGACUUCAUUUGUAUUUUCAGAAGAACUAUUUUGCUCAAA